rnacentral:rRNA from 1 species
AUGACGUCAAAUCAUCAUGCCCCUUAUGACCUGGGCUACACACGUGCUACAAUGGUUGGUACAACGAGUCGCAAGCCGGUGACGGCAAGCUAAUCUCUUAAAGCCAAUCUCAGUUCGGAUUGUAGGCUGCAACUCGCCUACAUGAAGUCGGAAUCGCUAGUAAUCGCGGAUCAGCACGCCGCGGUGAAUACGUUCCCGGGCCUUGUACACACCGCCCGUCACACCACGAGAGUUUGUAACACCCGAAGUCGGUGAGGUAACCUAUUAGGAGCCAGCCGCCUAAGGUGGGAUAGAUGAUUGGGGUGAAGUCGUAACAAGGUAGCCGUAUCGGAAGGUGCGGCUGGAUCACCUCCUUUCUAAGGAA